rnacentral:rRNA from 1 species
GAGAAGGGAGGCUGCAGUGGGGAAUAUUGCACAAUGGGGGAAACCCUGAUGCAGCUACUUCUCGUGAGUGAAGAAGUAUCUCGGUACGUAAAGCUCUAUCAGCAGGGAAGAAAAUGACGGUACCUGACUAAGAAGCCCCGGCUAACUACGUGCCAGCAGCCGCGGUAAUACGUAGGGGGCAAGCGUUAUCCGGAUUUACUGGGUGUAAAGGGAGCGUAGACGGCAGCACAAGUCUGGAGUGAAAUCCCGGGGCUUAACCCCGGAACUGCUUUGGAAACUGUGCGGCUGGAGUGCAGGAGGGGUAAGCGGAAUUCCUAGUGUAGCGGUGAAAUGCGUAGAUAUUAGGAGGAACACCGGUGGCGAAGGCGGCUUACUGGACUGUAACUGACGUUGAGGCUCGAAAGCGUGGGGAGCAAACAGGAUUAGAUACCCUAGUAGUA